AUAAGUGUAGAGUACACGAGCGGCGGACGGGUGAGUAACACGUGGGAAUCUACCCCAAACUGAGGGAUAAGCAUCGGAAACGGUGUCUAAUACCGCAUAUGGUCUUCGGAUUAAAGCUUCGGCGGGUUUUGGGAAAGAGCCCGCGUAAGAUUAGCUAGUUGGUGAGGUAAUGGCCCACCAAGGCGACGAUCUUUAGCUGGUUUUGAGAGGAUGAUCAGCCACACUGGAACUGAGACACGGUCCAGACUCCUACGGGAGGCAGCAGUUAGGAAUUUUCCACAAUGGGGGCAACCCUGAUGGAGCAACGCCGCGUGCAGGAUGAAGGUUUUCGGAUUGUAAACUGCUUUUGUACGUGAAGAAUAUGACGGUAGCGUACGAAUAAGGAUCGGCUAACUCCGUG
rnacentral:rRNA from 1 species